AUGAUGGCGAUCAUGGUGCGGCGAUCAACCAUGGUGAGGCCGGCGAGGGAGACGUUGCGGACUCGGCUAUGGAACUCCCACCUCGACCUACUGGUGCCGCGCUUCCACACGCCCAGCGUCUACUUCUACCGCCGCCCCGUGGAGAUAGCAGCCAUGGAAGGCUUCUUCGACGGCGAGCGGAUGUGGCAAGCGCUGGCGGAGGCACUCAUCACCUUCUACCCGAUGGCUGGCCGCCUUGCCCGGGACAAGGAGGGGAGGGUGGAGAUCGACUGCAACGGUGAGGGGGUACUCUUCGUCGAGGCCGAUGCGCCGGACUCCACUAUCGCUGACUAUGGCGACUUCGCGCCCACCAUGGAGCUCAGUCGCCUCAUCCCGGCCAUUGACUACACCCAGGAAAUAUCAUCCUUCCCACUCGUCGUUCUCCAGGUGACCUACUUCAAGUGUGGAGCUGUCUCCCUCGGUGUUGGAACACAACACCAUGUCGCUGAUGGCAUGUCCGGGUUGCACUUCAUUAACUCAUGGUCUGAUCUCUGCCGUGGGGCUAAAAUUGCAGUCAUGCCCUUCAUUGACCGCACCCUGAUCCGCGCUCGAGACCCCCCAACUCCAUGUCACCCACAUGUUGAGUAUCAUCCAUCCCCAGCAUUGUUGCCAUCCAUAACCCAGGAUCUCUCUUAUAAGGCAACAUCGUCUGGCACUACUGUUGACAUCUUCAAGCUCACCAGCUCAGACAUUGGCCGCUUGCGCUCGCAGCUUCCCAAAGGCGACGAUAUUUCACGGUUCAGCACAUACACAAUGCUAUCUGCGCAUGUCUGGCGUUGUGUCUCUCGCGCGCGUGGCUUGCCAUCUGAACAGCCUACCAAGCUGUAUUGUGCCAUUGAUGGGCGGAAACGGCUGAAUCCCCCACUACCAGAAGGUUUCUUAGGCAAUGUGUUGUUCACCGCCACACCGAUUUUGGAGGCAGGCUGUUGUGCCGCUUCUUCUUCUAUCCCUCGUUGUCUGUCACAACUCUCUCCUCUCUCAAGCGAACAAGAUCGCACACUUGGAAGGAACACACACACACCUCACCGUGGAGGAACCAGCUUUGCUUUGUUCUCCCGGUCAGACACACAUAUGCUACAUCCUUUCUCCUCAGCCCUCUCGGCCUCACUCCUUUCAUUACUCCGAUGCAAGAUAUAUAUACACAUAGCCAGGGGCUAA
rnacentral:rRNA from 1 species